rnacentral:rRNA from 1 species
AACGAACGCUGGCGGCAUGCCUAACACAUGCAAGUCGAACGAGACCUUCGGGUAUAGUGGCGCACGGGUGCGUAACGCGUGGGAACCUGCCCUUAGGUUCGGAAUAACUCCCCGAAAGGGGUGCUAAUACCGGAUAAUGUCUUCGGACCAAAGAUUUAUCGCCUUUGGAUGGGCCCGCGUUGGAUUAGCUAGUUGGUAGGGUAAAAGCCUACCAAGGCGACGAUCCAUAGCUGGUCUGAGAGGAUGAUCAGCCACACUGGGACUGAGACACGGCCCAGACUGCUACGGGAGGCAGAAGUGGGGAAUAUUGGACAAUGGGCGAAAGCCUGAUCCAGCAAUGCCGCGUGAGUGAGGAAGGCCUUAGGGUUGUAAAGCUCUUUUAUCCGGGAUGAUAAUGACAGUACCGGGAGAAUAAGCCCCGGCUCACUACGUG